GACGAACGCUGGCGGCGUGCUUAACACAUGCAAGUCGAACGGAAAGGCCCUGCUUUUGUGGGGUGCUCGAGUGGCGAACGGGGGAGUAACACGUGAGUAACCUGCCCUUGACUUUGGGAUAACUUCAGGAAACUGGGGCUAAUACGGGAUAGGAGCUCCUGCUGCAGGGUGGGGGUUGGAAAGUUUCGGCGGUUGGGGAUGGACUCGCGGCUUAUCAGCUUGUUGGUGGGGUAGUGGCUUACCAAGGCUUUGACGGGUAGCCGGCCUGAGAGGGUGACCGGCCACAUUGGGACUGAGAUACGGCCCAGACUCCUACGGGAGGCAGCAGUGGGGAAUAUUGCACAAUGGGCGGAAGCCUGAUGCAGCAACGCCGCGUGCGGGAUGACGGCCUUCGGGUUGUAAACCGCUUUCGCCUGUGACGAAGCGUGAGUGACGGUAAUGGGUAAAGAAGCACCGGCUAACUACGUG
rnacentral:rRNA from 1 species